AUUUCAAUUCGAGCUGAACUGAUCACUCAGCUACCAAAUUGACACUAACUAGCAGACAAUAAAAAAGCAAUUUAAAAAAAUAUAGCUUUCCUACUUGUCUAAGAAAAAAAAAUUUUGAAGCCUUACUAAGCAAACUCCAGUCGAAUUUAAAACCAUUAAUCGCAAAAUUUGACGUGGCCAUCCUGUAUUGGCUCUCACAUCUAAAACCCAACCCAAAAAAACAAAGAAGAAAUAACAGGCAAAAAGAAAACUUCACGUGCUCACUCAUCUACCUCUACAACCAAGUCCUGAUCUUCUACCAGGCAACAGCCCUCGUUAACUCCGUCACCAAACCCUCCGGUGAUCUCAGAUUCCGAACACUUCAUCUUCUACAACAUUCUACUGUUAAUUCACGCGGUAAACGAGAUUAAACGGUGCAGCCACAGAAGAGAAAGAAGAAGCAAAGCAUAGACACUAGAGCCACGGACUCAAAUGCUGUGAUCAAGCUCCAAACAACGUCAUCCAGGAUCGAGAAAUCCAGCUCCGGCCACCUCAAGAACAUCUGCGCGUCCCAAUUCAGCA
rnacentral:misc_RNA from 1 species